GUUCUUGGAAACAUUGAUGUUCGUCCGUUUAGAUCUAGGAAAUCAAUUGUUUAAAAAUGUGUUAUUAGGAAUUAUAAUCGUUUAAUCAAUUAUUUAAUGUCACUCGUCAUUUCGCGAUAAAAAAUUAAAUCAAUUUAACCUAUACUGAUGUGACUUCAAAAUUAACAUGUUUGUCGUUGAAGAUAACAAGUGUAUCAGCUUGAAACUCGAUUGGGACAUUUUUGGAACGGUAAUUGCGUGGCGCGUACCGCUCGUUAUUUGCUCCAAUUCUUCCGCUAACUUAUUAUCAGCACAAUGGACAUUCAAGUCAAUUGACUCGUCGGUAUUCAACGAAGAAGCUAACCUCGCUUUCGCGUUUGCUGAAUAAUUGAAUGACGUCGGAGCACGAUCUUUUUAGGUUGGAAUCGGACGUGGCAACCUUUGUGUCAGUGGUUUGUUAGGUUAUAAGUGCAAUUGUCAAUUUGGUUAUGAAUAUAUAAAUGUAAUUGUAAUUAUAUUGUAUGGCUGUGUUUUUUAUUUAACACGUUGACUAUUGUGACAAAAGGAACAUCUUUUGUACCAUUUAUUCUUACGUUAGCAAAAAUGAAAAGGGAGAAUUAUUGUAUUAUAAAAUAUAUGUAAAUUAAUAUAUGAAUGAAAAUAAUUGUAUAAUAAUAAUUUUAUUUAAUUACAUUUCUAUCUUAAUUAUAUGAUUAUAUA